ACAGCAGUCGCCACGGUAAUACGAAGGGUGCAAGCGUUAAUCGGAAUUACUGGGCGUAAAGCGUGCGUAGGCGGUGAGUUAAGUCUGCUGUGAAAUCCCCGGGCUCAACCUGGGAAUUGCAGUGGAUACUGGAUCACUAGAGUGUGGUAGAGGAUAGUGGAAUUUCCGGUGUAGCAGUGAAAUGCGUAGAGAUCGGAAGGAACAUCUGUGGCGAAGGCGGCCCCCUGGACAAAGACUGACGCUCAGGUGCGAAAGCGUGGGGAGCAAACAGGAUUAGAUACCCCAGUAGUCCCUGUCUCUUAUAC
rnacentral:rRNA from 1 species